UACGAAGGGGGCUAGCGUUGUUCGGAUUUACUGGGCGUAAAGCGCACGUAGGCGGAUCGUUAAGUCAGGGGUGAAAUCCUGGAGCUCAACUCCAGAACUGCCUUUGAUACUGGCGAUCAUGAGUCCGGAAGAGGUGAGUGGAACUCCUAGUGUAGAGGUGGAAUUCGUAGAUAUUAGCUAGAACACCAGUGGCGAAGGCGGCCAACUGGUCCGGUACUGACGCUGAGGUGCGAAAGCGUGGGGAGCAAACAGG
rnacentral:rRNA from 1 species